GGAUAUGAGUGUUGUCUGGCUGCAACACAUCACCCCAUUGAUCGCCAGAGUUGAUUUGGCUGAUCUAGCUGGCUACUGGGUGUCCUCUUCCUCCCUCACUUCUCCUUGUGUGUCCUGCCUGGAAGCUGAGCGCAGUGGAAAAGGAUGACCUUCUCCCAUAGAGAAGGACCAUUAUUGGAUCGAGGGUAUAUGAGAAGCUUCACUCUCCUGCUAGAUCCUCCCAAACAAGAUCUCAAGGUCCAUUUCUGGGGGAACGCAAUGUAGUCAAACUUUCAGAACUCCAGACACAUCCAAAUGAGGUACUACAUGUGGCAGUCUGCCUUUCUAA
rnacentral:snRNA from 1 species